GGCCCGUUAGCUCAAUCGGUAGAGCAGCGGACUCUUAAUCCGCGGGUUCCAGGUUCGAGUCCUGGACGGGUCA
rnacentral:tRNA from 1 species